rnacentral:rRNA from 1 species
CACACGACUCUCGGCAACGGAUAUCUCGGCUCUUGCAUCGAUGAAGAACGUAGCGAAAUGUGAUACCUGGUGCGAAUUGCAGAAUCCCGCGAACCAUCGAGUCUUUGAACGCAAGUUGCGCCCGAGGCCACUAGGUCGAGGGCACGCCUGCCUGGGCGUCACGC